UUAGUUUUGUGCCGGUGAAUAGAUGUUUUAUGGCAAAAUGAGUAACUCAUAAAAGUUUAUCAUUUAAACUUUUGCAGAAAUCAACCACUGUAGAAUGUCCAAAAGUUAGAAUUACCUGCUGUUACCAAAACUGUCAGAAAUAAGUGGGAGAGUUGUGGUGGCAGGGCAGUUGCUUGCAUUUCUUGGGUAAGGUUUGACUCAUCCUUUAAAAAAGAAAAGAGAAAUAAACCAAAUUAAACAGGAAUCACAGAAAACUGAGAUCUGAAGUUUGAAAACUGUCCUGCUUGAAGACUAUUUGGAGUUAUAACACUGAAUUUAAUCAGAAUCUUCUCCAAAUUUUUUUCUGUGAUACUUCUUAUAAAUCAGGAAAGUUUUUCAAUAAAAACAGUGGGAUACCUGUAACAAAAACUGGUAAUCACAGAAAUGUGAAUGAAGUGUGCUUCAAGGAACGACUAAAACGGUGUUACGUCCCCUGACCUGGACUGUGGCCACAGCAGCAUGAGGCCUGACUGGGACACCCCAGCAGCGCAGCAGCAGAGCACAUGCAAGGUGAGAGCAGGUUACCUGUGCUCCAGAGAUGCCCACUCUCAGAUUGGGAGUGCCCUGUCUAUUCUUCCAGCACCUGAGCCAAACCCAUAACCACGGAAUGGGCAAGCAAAGCCAUAAGUGCCUACGUGCCCCUGCUCUUCACUGUAUCUGGCUCAACUGCUUGAAUACCAUGACUCACUCCACUGGUAGAGGGUACAGGUGAGCAUGGAAGAACAAUCUCUCUCUUGCAAGGAAGUUAAAAUUUCUCAAGUUGAUUACCUUCAAUAGCCUUUCAACCUCUUUUAAUAUGGCUGAAAGCCUGAACCUGUUCAUGACUUAAGAUUCUCACUUGUUCCCUGAUCUAGCAGCAGUAGGAAAUAGGAAAGUGGCCACAUUGACAAAUACUCCAGAAUACUGGUGUCAGUUCAUGUAGAUCACUGACCAAAGUGACUAAAUACAAGUGAGAACAUUGCUGGUCACUUUAGCUGCCUGAAGGUUAGUGCCAUACACAUACCUUUGGAUACUUAGUCACUUUUUUCAGUGCUGUUCAGUAUGCCAGUACUGGGAGAACAAGAGCCUAACAACCUAGCUUUUUGUGCAACAGGAGUAGCAUAACACUUGGUUAAUAAAUUGCCUGUGUAACAGAUAAAUUGAGACCAAAACGUUCUGUCUUUCUGAAUCCUGAAAAUGCACUUCAGGCAGAACAGAACUGCUGUUUCACACCAU